AUGAACGCUAGCGACAGGCUUAACACAUGCAAGUCGAGGGGCAGCACAGGUAGCAAUACCGGGUGGCGACCGGCGCACGGGUGAGUAACGCGUAUGCAACUUACCUAUCAGAGGGGGAUAACCCGGCGAAAGUCGGACUAAUACCGCAUGAAGCAGGGGCCCCGCAUGGGGAUAUUUGCUAAAGAUUCAUCGCUGAUAGAUAGGCAUGCGUUCCAUUAGGCAGUUGGCGGGGUAACGGCCCACCAAACCGACGAUGGAUAGGGGUUCUGAGAGGAAGGUCCCCCACAUUGGUACUGAGACACGGACCAAACUCCUACGGGAGGCAGCAGUGAGGAAUAUUGGUCAAUGGCCGAGAGGCUGAACCAGCCAAGUCGCGUGAGGGAUGAAGGUUCUAUGGAUCGUAAACCUCUUUUAUAAGGGAAUAAAGUGCGGGACGUGUCCCGUUUUGUAUGUACCUUAUGAAUAAGGAUCGGCUAACUCCGUGCCAGCAGCCGCGGUAAUACGGAGGAUCCGAGCGUUAUCCGGAUUUAUUGGGUUUAAAGGGUGCGUAGGCGGCCUUUUAAGUCAGCGGUGAAAGUCUGUGGCUCAACCAUAGAAUUGCCGUUGAAACUGGGGGGCUUGAGUAUGUUUGAGGCAGGCGGAAUGCGUGGUGUAGCGGUGAAAUGCAUAGAUAUCACGCAGAACCCCGAUUGCGAAGGCAGCCUGCCAAGCCAUGACUGACGCUGAUGCACGAAAGCGUGGGGAUCAAACAGGAUUAGAUACCCUGGUAGUCCACGCAGUAAACGAUGAUCACUAGCUGUUUGCGAUACACUGUAAGCGGCAAAGCGAAAGCGUUAAGUGAUCCACCUGGGGAGUACGCCGGCAACGGUGAAACUCAAAGGAAUUGACGGGGGCCCGCACAAGCGGAGGAACAUGUGGUUUAAUUCGAUGAUACGCGAGGAACCUUACCCGGGCUUGAAUUGCAGAGGAAGGAUUUGGAGACAAUGACGCCCUACGGGGUCUCUGUGAAGGUGCUGCAUGGUUGUCGUCAGCUCGUGCCGUGAGGUGUCGGCUUAAGUGCCAUAACGAGCGCAACCCUUGCCACUAGUUACUAACAGGUAAAGCUGAGGACUCUGGUGGGACUGCCAGCGUAAGCUGCGAGGAAGGCGGGGAUGACGUCAAAUCAGCACGGCCCUUACAUCCGGGGCGACACACGUGUUACAAUGGCGUGGACAAAGGGAAGCCACCUGGCGACAGGGAGCGAAUCCCCAAACCACGUCUCAGUUCGGAUCGGAGUCUGCAACCCGACUCCGUGAAGCUGGAUUCGCUAGUAAUCGCGCAUCAGCCAUGGCGCGGUGAAUACGUUCCCGGGCCUUGUACACACCGCCCGUCAAGCCAUGGGAGCCGGGGGUACCUGAAGUCCGUAACCGCGAGGAUCGGCCUAGGGUAAAACUGGUGACUGGGGCU
rnacentral:rRNA from 1 species